GUUGUGAGUUACCAAAAAUUGUCUCCCUUAAUUAACUAAUAGCUGACUCAUUUCAAUGGUUGAUCCGCCUGCUGAGUUCAGCAUGAAGUUUUGGUCUGACCUUUUCAUUGCGGUGCUUGCAGAAUGGUGUCGUGGCAGCACUGCACAAUUAAUUAACUACGCUGAGAAACAUCGUAGCUCUUCUUUUCAUGACCACACGCUGUGGAGCCACCGGCCUGCUCGAGUUGCCCUCACACAGUGCCAACCCUGUGAGAGAAAACUAUGGUACUGAUUUCUUCGGUUAUAAGGUUAUGUGUUCCCCUAGGAUUUAAGAUGGUGAAGUUACUUGAUGUAGGAACUAGGGUAUACUAUGACUGUAUCACCUUUUGAUGUUUAUUGACUUGCUUCAAUAAGAACUUCAGUGCUUGAGUCCAACCCUGUAAGGUUUCACUUUGCUCCAAUUACUCAAUCAGAACUCAUGGUUCUAUAUGUUGUAGGCUCUGAACUUCCUUCAAUCAGAAUAUGAUUUUUCACAAGAUCAUGAAAUAUUUAUGUCCCCUAGGUUCUUAUUGGCCAAUUUCUCAGAUUAGGAGUUGAUAUAAACAUCAAUAUGCUUAAGGUAAUGCACCCUACUUUGCAUAGUAAACCAUAUUGAGCUAUUGUGAAUGCAAAACAUCUUUAAUAACUGAAGAUGAUGUCACAGCCCUACUUUAGUUUAUAGAUUACAAAGAGAUUGCCCAAUCUAGAAAAGAAAAGGUGGAUGCCAAACUGAAGAGUCAUGUGAUGUAAGCAGCUGGGAUGCUAAAAAGUUUGUGUAAGUUCUACUGGCUUGCUCCCGAAUAUUAGCUUGCUCGAAUAGAAAAUGUCUCAGAAUCUUCUGAAAGAUCAUUUGUUGAUGUUAUUUGAGCAAAGAAGCGUGUAAUUUCCCAAUCUACAUUACUACUAAUGCUAUUUUGAUGUAAUGCUACAUUUGAUAUCCUCUAGCAUUCCUUUUAGAUUUUAUGCUACGUUUGAAUAGAGGGUUGCCAAGGGUCCUGUAGCUUACAGACGCUAAUAUCUCAUUUUAUCAAGAUAGUUAAGACUUCUUGUACUAAAGUUUACUAUAUCAAUUUUGUACUAAAAAUGUACCCUGUUUUACUAAAUUAUCUUGCUACUAAUUUUUGCAUUGUUGUACUUAAAUUUGCCUUUCUACCGUUGUACUAGAAUUUAACCAUUGAGUAGGUAGGAAGAAUUCAACGGACCAAUAAUAAUGAUUAAGGAGCGCCCAGGAGAAAUCAAAUCACAAUCCACUCCCAAAACAUAACCAGUACAUGAUUCAUGAUAGAAUUGCACUAGACACAUGACAAUUGUAUAACUGCAUGUAGUAGAGUGUACCUGAUGCCUAUAUUGUUCCUUUUUAACUUGUUUGCAGAAACCAGUAUAUAAAUAUAUGUCUUGGUAAAUCACAUUGUGAGCAUGUAUCUCGGUACGUAAUUCAGGCACAUUCAAGUUAGCCUUGUGUGAAUCAUUUUCUUUGAACAUAAAGUAUUUUUGAGUUGUGGAAAACCUUGCAUCUAUUUGUAUUUUCUAGAGAACGGUAUAUCUUUCUUUGAAACCAAACAAUGUGUUGUGUGUUAGCACAUGUUUAUUUAAGGGAAAUACCUCAUUUCUUACAGAGUAUGUUUGCCUUAAGGUCUACGUUGACUCAAUUGAUGACAUAUAGUAGAUUUUUUCAUAAGAAAACAAGGAUCAAAAGUGUUUGUCAGAUGUAGGCUAUUACUCUCCUUUUCUGCAUACAAAGCUACUAAUGUCAUGACCUUCAACCUCUUUAUGUUGCUCCUCCUUUACAUUUUGCUGAUCUAUUAACUUGAUUUUAUAUAUAGUAAGUUACUUAUCUCGUUUCUUUGGUUUUGUAGGUUGUCAAGAUAAAAUGGAUAAUGCAUGGCUUGGAUGCUGAUUACAAGGAUGAGAAUGGUGCUACAACAGGAUAAUUAGAAUGUCAUUUUCAGGAUGAUGUUUGAAACAUUAUAGUUGAUUGCAAGGUCUAGAAUUUGGCUACUACUUGAUAGUUUCACAUCUUGUAAUCUCUGGAUCCUGUUCUUUGUAAUUCAACAUAGUUGAUUUAAUAUAUGAGACCUUCCAGUUUAUUAUAUUGUGUCUCCUAUACAUUAGAUAUAUUGACCUUGUAAUUCUGGAUGUCAAUAUAUAAAAUAUCAUCAAUUAUUCAUGCC
rnacentral:lncRNA from 1 species